GUCUUACAUUAUCAGAGGGACGACUGAUUCAAUGAUGAGAAGGAGCUGAAUCUCCCCUUUAUCGUUUACUUUUAUUUCAUCAAUGGAACCCCUACUCGGUGGAUUUUGGAGGCAUAGUUGGGCUGACCAGGGAGCAGUUUAUUACGGUCAACGGCUACUCUAACAUGUACUGGGGGUGGGGCGGGGAGGACAGUGACUUGGGCAGGAGAGUACGUCAGAGGUUUAAAGUCACCGAAGCUCGUCUAGGAUAUUACCGGAACUUAAACCAUGACAAGAAAACACAUGAGGGUAUGAGUGUGCAUAGAAGGUGUCUUUACGGAAAAGCACUGAAUCGGAUAAAAUACGAUGGACUAUCGAGGGUCCGUUACGAACGUUCCGCCGACAUUUCACUUUCUACAUUAUAUACCAAAAUAAAAGUUGAUGUCGUCAAACAAGAAUGGAACCGGGUAAUUCCACUUUGCAAUCAUAAAUAACGACGGUCACCAAGGCCAGUUCAUGUUUAACUGUUAUUUAUAUAUGAUCAUGCAAUGGAGCCAGGCUGGUAAUCAUAACCGUCGAUUUCGUGUGUGACUGGGGGAUAUGAGGGUGUGUGAGAGUGUGUAUGUGUGUGCCUAAAUGCGUUAUUUAUAUUACAGUGUACCUAAUUUAAUUUUUAAAUUAUCAAUUGAAUUUCAUAUAAAUCAAUGCAAACUUCUUUUAUAUCUGUAGUAGUCGUUGUCUCGAGAAAUACUCCAGGUUUCUGUAAUCACCUUUACUAAUUACAAUUACAGUAGGGGUACCCCAAGGGUCGAAUCUGGGUCUACCUCUUUUUUUCAAUUGUACAUGAAUGACCUCCAACCAGUAAGCGAUGUCUUUAAUUACAUCUUCAUUGUUCGCAGGUGAUAGAAGUUUUUUCUUGUAAGAAUCCGGUGGACAUAAUUGAGUAUAUGAAUAUAAAAAAGGCCCAAGUCCAUAGGAAGUCAUUUCGAGAAAAUCGAAAAAAGAAAGAUAUUUUUUAAAUUUGGGCAAUUAAAGUUUAUUUGGCCAAAAGACAUCAGAGAACAUCAUAAAACAAGUUUAAGUGUACAUUUUUUAAUGAACAUUAAUAUUCACAUUACUUGUGGGGCCUUUUGUCUGGUGGACUUGGGUCGUUUUAAGAAUCAUAUGGACUUGGGUCAUUCUUACAUUCAUAUACAUAGUACACUCACGGAAAUUUCCGUUGGUACACUUCUGUAGUAAGUAGUAGUAAUGAAAGAGGGCGCUAUGAUAAUUAUGAAUGUAAGUAAAGCCUAGGUCCUGGACUUGGGUUUUUCUUACACUCAUACCAGAUUUUCCUGCUUUAUUUAAGGCAUUUCUUAGAUGAUUUCAGCUUUAUCACUUAUACACAAGAUGAGUUAUUUUAUAAGGAACAAUUUCCCUUAUCUAACCCAAUUUCGCCCAAAAUUGGACUAGGGCCGUUUUUAUAUUUAGAUACUCAAUUAGAUAAUAAUAAUUCUGAUAUGUAAAAAAAUUAGCUGUUGUUUCAAGCAACCAGACUAAAAAUACAAACAAAGUAGUUAUCUUAUUUUUUCAGCCCCAACAUAAGAAACUUGAAGAGAACAUGAUAUAUUAAUAAUACUGAAAAUAAGAAAGGCCAAAAUAUACUAAAUUUGUAGGAGUCACAAUUCUUGAUGACGAGUUGGAAACAACAUGUUUAUUAUAUAACUAUGUUUAUGUGUAUUUUGUUUUAUGUCAUGAAAGAAAAAUAUGUUAUAGAGUAAAACUUUUGAGAAAAUCACAUUUUAGCCAUUUUAUUAUUGGAGUACAUGGAAGAGUAGCCUUUGCCUUACAUCACCAUGACAACACAAAUGCGGCCAUUUUGAAGUUCUCACGGGCAGAAUGAUUACCAAUUACUAUUCAUAGCUUCAAUAGAGCACUUAAAAAAAAUCUAACCAAUAACUAUAACACUCACAUCAUUCAUCCUACUUAGGAUAUCUUGUGGAUCUUCUAUUCUUCCGGAUUCCCCCCCCUCCUCCCCCACCCUGCCUUUAUUUCGCUUCUUUUCCCGUCUCCUUUCUUUCGCUCUACCUGUUUUUUUUUUUCUUUUUCUUUCCUUCUUCUUUCUUUCUUUUACUCGUUUUUGUCCUUUGUUUUGUUGUUGUUGUUGUCUUUUUUUUUCAAUUUGUCUGUUCUUGUAAUAUUUCGUCUGUCUUGUUUUGGUAUAACUUUUUGUCAUGUCUUGAUCUUGUACCGUUCUGUCACGUCCUGGUUUCGUAACGUUUUGUCUUGUGUGUCCUUUUCACUUUUUCUUCAU